rnacentral:lncRNA from 1 species
CAAAAAAAAAAGGAAAACCGUGCCCAGCGUAUUGUCAUGACACUAAGGAAAUAUAGGAACAGACACAAGCAUGCCUUUAGAUAUAUGUAUUUAAAUUCCAAAUACAGCCAGGAUAUAAAACUAAUAUUUACACAUAUAGGUACAAUUUAUACCUUAAUCACAGACGGACAGAUGAUCACUUUACACUAAUGCUAUAUUCGAUGCACUUGGAUUGAUGUACUCCUUUCCUAGUCUCUCAUUCUCCUUAGCUCAACACUACCAAUUUCUCUUCACACAAAAUUCAACACACAUGCCCUUGAAAUCCGACGCACUAGAAGCUGGUCUGAAAAAAGGGGUGUUCAAAAGACCCACUAGUCUAUAUAUAGCCUCACCACACGCCAGUGCUGCCUUCCUGUGGACGAAAGUGUCUGUUAGUAUGGAAAUGUCUUAACGUGUCAAAUCACCGCUUGAGGCGAUGACCUUUUUAACCUUUGUGUAAAACACCCCUAGGGGUCACUGUUGUAUCUUCUCC